UUGUGACUCCUGCCAAGCGUGUUCUUUGCACAACAACAUUUUAACGGUUUGAUUUAUAAAAACACAAACGACCAAAUGACCUUCUGUUUUGUUCUGUUAAGAAAAACAAAAAUAAAAGUUAUACAAAUACCCCCGUGCGCGUCUUUUCGCAUAAAAAAAAAAAAACUAUAACAAAAAAAAAAGAACUUUGGAGAACCGGCAUCAUCCCACCCGACCACCUCCCACACUUCUCGUUCCCGUGGGAAGGGAGAGGAAGGAGAAGUUUAGGCGAAAGAGAAGCAGGACAGCUGGUGUGUAGGUAGCACUUGGCAUUAUUAUGAUUUAAAAAAAAAAACAACAACAACAAAAAAAAAACACAACAUGCACUGGGGGUCUUCUUGCCAAGCUGCAUCCCGGAUGACUUUCUUGUUAUUAUUGCGCACAGGACCAGAAGAGGAAGACCUACUGCGAAUCUAUUUGAAUAUUAAGAGACAUAAAAUUACUAACACAGCAAUCCACGGGGGUUAGGUAUCCCCGCAAUAGGCGAAAACCAUGAAAUAGUGACCACGUACCUUUUGUAUUAUUUACGCAUAUAUUUUAAAGCUUUAUGAACCUCCCUCGACUCAUUAAUCUUCCACACACUCCAAUGAAGUUCUACUUUACUCUUCUAAACACUCUCUAUACUCUGAUAAAAUGUGAAAAUUUUGAGUUUUCUUUCUUGUGCGGGGCCUCGGCAUUGCGGUGAAAUCUGAUGCCCCCCCAACCCCCCCAUUUUUGAUGACUCAUUCUCCGGAUUGAGCGACAAAGUCAGGCACGGUCGUACGCGAGCACAUUAGCGCCGCUAAUGAGACACGUGCGCCUAUUUUACUCCUCCUCGGUGGUAAAACCUUGCCGAGGGGGCCGCUUCCUCGCACUCUCGGAGAUCGAAGCGGAAGAAAAUGGAAGCGUUUGAGCGCUCGCUCGCUCGCUCUGGGAGCGGCAAGUACGUAUGUGAAUUGUGCCAUUGGUAGUAACAACCAGUCAUCCCUCACUCACCACCACUCAGCACCCCUGCUCGAAACUCUGUACAUGCAAAGGCUUUCAACCCUGUGGAUUAUGCAGUGAUGCGGCUGAUUUGUGCAUUUUUUCUCACGGCCGCAAGGGGGCACUCGAGCGGAAAAGAAUAAAAAGAUUUCCCAAAAGAGACGCUCUCUGAAGCUGAGCCUGACCCCAGGAACGGAGGAAGAAGAGAAUAGAAGAGCGUCCCCGGGGCGAUUAAUAAAACAUGGAUUCAACGCUCCGUUAUUCCACAAAAAAAGUAGCUGGAACUCUGUCGGAAUGAUCGCCUUGCGUUGAUGACCCCUCCGCUGCGCUCUCCUGCUGCUUUGUUGUCGCAGAUCUCCUCUGUUUGUUCAAUUUCCCGGCACAUGGCCGCCUCGGGGAGACCCCCCGCUUGCGCCGAAGUCCUCCGCGCUACGCCGACGCGUGGUAAAUUCCCCGGCGAGCAAAAAAGCGACAAAGAUGUGACAUUUUCACGACGGCAAACGCUCGCUCUUUUUAAUCAGCAAUUAAGAGCGUAGACAAAAAGACGUUGUUGUCUGUAAUUGCGACACAGGAGGAGGUGGCGAGCGAGAGGGGGGAGCUUCGAACGGAGCCCGCCGUGAAGAAAUGAACAGUUUUUGGGUAUGCGCCGAUUGUUACAUACAAGUCACUAACGCUGACAUUGCACAGCUAAAAACAUCAAGAAAAAAUAGAAACUUCAACGCAACUGCAUACCCUGUACACAAUUCCCUAUCAUCGAAGCCAGGGGUGUCAAACUCGUUUUUGUCGCGGGCCACAUUGUAGUUAGUUUCCCUCAGAGGGCCGUUAUGACUGUGAAACCAUCAAAAGUAUUUAAUAGUAUUGUCACAUUACACACGAAAUUUACGAGCUCGCGUUAGAUUCAGAAAUUGAGGGGAAUGCGUUUUUUCAACGAUUCACAUUUGGUUGAGCAAAAUUGCUUGGAAUAGCUCAAUGUUAUCGUUUAUGAUAUAUGACAAUUUGAAAUUUGACUUGCAGAUUUUCACAUGACUCAUGAUUUGCUUCCGCGGGGCACAUAAAAUAAU